rfam:Eutrema salsugineum unplaced genomic scaffold scaffold_11, whole genome shotgun sequence.
ACGAGCCACAUGCAGGGAAACUUGCACGUGUGGUUCUGGCCGGGGACACCCCGGU